GGGGCCGGGGGGGUCUGUGUGCAGGCAGAUGGGGAGCAUUCACAGAAAGCCCCUCCAGGCACCUGCUGGUUCUCCAUCGUCCUCUGCUCAAAGUAAUCAAUAGACUCAAGCGUCAACUUUGGGGUGCUGUGUCCUGAACUCCUUCAGUUAACUUUCCGAGCCAUGGCCCAAGAAGGAGGAAAACCAGAAGUCAUUUUUGUCACGACCGUUUACUGACCGUGGUUGGCAGAAGAUCCGUGUCUCAAAGUACAACCAGGGCUUUACAACAUAGACAUGUUAGCAAGAGUUCUUGAUUUUCACAUGAGGAAAGGAAGUGAAAAACAAUAUUUGACCUCUCAGAGGCCCAGUUUACCUACCUAUUGCGGUAAAAGAGAAACAUCUGGGUGUGGCACGGAAGUCCCCAUUUGAAAAUAAACACAGCUUUCGCCGGGGCACCAGACAGCGGUGGACUGUUAGCCCUUAAUACAUUCAUCUUUGCUGUGUUCUUGUUCUAGAAAGACUACUGGGCCUGAUUGCCCUCCCUAAAUCUCUGUUCUUGUCUCUAAACGAGCUAUUUCUCAGAGCUUGGAAACAGGCUUCGCGUCUGAGAGGCUUGUGUCCCGGAGGGUCUAGGACAAGGACUCUGUCCAGCCAGAGGGGACCCCGGCCCUGGAUCUUGUUCCCAGGCAGGAUUUCCAUCUGAACACAAAAUGACUUCCUCUCUCUAACCCCCCCCCUCCCCGCAUCCCCCCUACGGUUAUUUGUCUGGGGAAUCCAGGCAUCAAAGACUUUGGUAAUAAUUACAUUUCCUUCAAUGGAGACAGGAUCUCACCCUUCCGGACUGAAACCCUCCGAUGGGCGAGCUGGUCUGAGGUCCCUGAUGGCCCUGCCCUCCCCUCCUCACUCCUGCCAGCUGCCACCCACAUCCUUGGGGGCACCUGCCCGCCUGUGUGUCUCCCUCGUUAUCUGUCACAUUGAGUCGAGUGACCCCAACACACAGCGAGUUCUGAGCCUUCAGAAAACACACUUGUAGCCUCAGAAAAUGCUUUGGCUUACCCAUAAACAAGACACCUCUCUAGAAGGACACAGAAUGUGGACCCUCAGACAGCACUGAAGUGCAAAGCUCUGGAGAUUAAGGCCCCUGGACAUCUUGUGAAAGUCUAAGAACAAACAGCGACCAUGAGGCCAGGAGACACCUAACCGUAUUCAGAAGGGCCAACUGGCCUCUCACAUAGCUUGCUGAUCUCUGCAGGAUCUAGAUCUAACCCCCUCUGGGUAGUCAGAUCCCCCACCAGCAGCGGCUCUUGACUUUGACCUGGACGCAGUCACCUUAGAAUGACUUCUGCCCCAGUUCGGCGCUGAACUCCCCAUUGAGCAAGCCUCUCUGUGGGACCAACCACAGAAAGCCAAACACGUUCCCCAAACCAGUUCUGAGGACGACGCUCCAGGCCUGCCCAGGCCCGACUUCACGGCGCCCACAGCCUCCGUCAGGACACGGACCUUCCUCCCCCUCCCCCCGGUGGAGACCCCGCUCCUGUGCCUGCCCGUGACCUUCUUCCAGAGGCAGGUGAGCCGGCUGACGGCCCUGGGACAGCAGGCUCUGAGUCAGCAGCCCCUGCUGGUCCUUCCGCGGUGCGUCCCGGCUGUUUCCACACCAGUUAGUGGACCUUCUGCACUCAGAGGGAGGGGUCACACAUGAGACCAUCCCAGGACAUGGAGGCAGGUGUCUGUCACCUUGCUGGUGGCAGGUGCGUCCCACUGCCUCACGGGUACCACAGGCUGCCCGGGGCAGCAAGAGCGGUCCUGCUCAGUGCCACGGCUGGCUGUAAGCUGGAGUGUCCCCGGAAAGCCACUGUGGGGAACUGCUGGCAGCUUAGAUGGCUCUGGUGGUGGCUGGGAGGGGACAGGAAGCCUCAAGGAUGAGAGAAAAAAACCGUUGUCUGGAAACUCCCCACCAAAACCUAAC